AAAGGCUUCAACAACGAGGUGUGAAAGACAUUAGGAAUACGCAGAUUCUUAGGGAGACCCAAGGCAUACGAAACAGGAUUAACCUUAUGCAGAAUACGAUAAGGACCAAUAAAGCGGGGAGCCAAUUUCAUAGAAGGCACCCAGAGGCAAAUGUUUCGCGUAGAAAGCAGAACCCUGUCCCCCACAACAUAAGAAGGAGCCGCCCUGCGAUGCUUGUCAGCCUGCACCUUCUGGCGAGCAGCGGAAUCCACCAAAGAACGCUGAACCUG